UGGGGAAUAUUGCACAAUGGGGGAAACCCUGAUGCAGCGACGCCGCGUGAACGAAGAAGGUAUUCGUAUCGUAAAGUUCUGUCCUAUGGUAAGAUAAUGACAGUACCAUAGAAGAAAGCUCCGGCUAAAUACGUGCCAGCAGCCGCGGUAAUACGUAUGGAGCGAGCGUUGUCCGGAAUUAUUGGGCGUAAAGGGUACGCAGGCGGUUUAAUAAGUCGAAUGUUAAAGAUCGGGGCUCAACCCCGUAAAGCAUUGGAAACUGAUAAACUUGAGUAGUGGAGAGGAAAGUGGAAUUCCUAGUGUAGUGGUGAAAUACGUAGAUAUUAGGAGGAAUACCAGUAGCGAAGGCGACUUUCUGGACACAAACUGACGCUGAGGUACGAAAGCGUGGGGAGCAAACAGG
rnacentral:rRNA from 1 species